rnacentral:rRNA from 1 species
UACGUAGGGUGCGAGCGUUGUCCGGAAUUAUUGGGCGUAAAGGGCGCGUAGGCGGCCUGGCAAGUCGGUGGUGAAAGCUCAGAGCUCAACUCUGAGUCGGCCAUCGAUACUGCUAUGGCUCGAAUCGACUAGAGGCAGAUGGAAUUCCCGGUGUAGUGGUGAAAUGCGUAGAGAUCGGGAGGAACACCAGUGGCGAAGGCGGCUCGCUGGGCCGGUCCUGACACUGAGGCGCGAAGGCGUGGGGAGCGAACGGG